GAUGAACGCUGGCGGCGUGCCUAAUACAUGCCAGUCGAGCGAACAGACGAGGAGCUUGCUCCUCUGACGUUAGCGGCGGACGGGUGAGUAACACGUGGAUAACCUACCUAUAAGACUGGGAUAACUUCGGGAAACCGGAGCUAAUACCGGAUAAUAUAUUGAACCGCAUGGUUCAAUAGUGAAAUACGGUUUUGCUGUCACUUAUAGAUGGAUCCGCGCCGCAUUAGCUAGUUGGUAAGGUAACGGCUUACCAAGGCGACGAUGCGUAGCCGACCUGAGAGGGUGAUCGGCCACACUGGAACUGGGACACGGUCCAGACUCCUACGGGAGGCAGCAGUAGGGAAUCUUCCGCAAUGGGCGAAAGCCUGACGGAGCAACGCCGCGUGAGUGAUGAAGGUCUUCGGAUCGUAAAACUCUGUUAUUAGGGAAGAACAAAUGUGUAAGUAACUAUGCACGUCUUGACGGUACCUAAUCAGAAAGCCACGGCUAACUACGUG
rnacentral:rRNA from 1 species